rnacentral:rRNA from 1 species
CGGAUUGUAGUCUGCAACCCGACUACAUGAAGCUGGAAUCGCUAGUAAUCGCGAAUCAGAAUGUCGCGGUGAAUACGUUCCCGGGUCUUGUACACACCGCCCGUCACACCAUGGGAGUCGGAAAUGCCCGAAGUCAGUGACCUAGCCGAAAGGGAGGAGCUGCCGAAGGUGGAGCCGGUAACUGGGGUGAAGUCGUAACAAGGUAAC